ACUCGUAUAUACACUACAAAACUAAUUAGACACCAUAGUAUGAUAUGUAUAAUGUACAAAGCUUAUACUAUUACUUCAAAACAUCCAUUACCCGAAAAAUUAGGGGGAGAGAGAGAGAGUAAACUAAGGCUAAGCCUAAGGGCAGCUGCAAGUUGAGACAAAAACUGAUUGGGAUCAACACAUGAUUGUUGUAAAGAAAAGAAAUGCUUUGAAUACCUGAAAGAAAAACUUUAGCAUAGGUUACUUGAGUGGGGUGCACAAAUGGCUUGCAUAUGGUAACAAAUGACAGUACCACAAAUUUGAGAACCCCAUCAUGACUAGAGCACCUGAAGUCCUGAACAAAGGCCUCUGGCCCUAUCAAAUAAUCAGAAAGAUCUACUAAUUUCUCUACUCUUAAAUUUCCAUGUCCAAUCACCAUCAUUUAGUAAAGGAACCAGCAUUUUAAGAAUUUCACUAAAACGUAUAUUAUUCUUUUAUACAUCCAAUCUCUAAUCUCUACUUUGAUUUUUUAUGUAACAAAAAGCACCGACGUGUGGUCGACACAUGUGGUUAAAGUGGUGUGGAGCCAUGCACUUGGGGGAAGGGAGGGGGGGGGGGGGGGGCGGAGUUGGUGUACCCAACACCCCCACGCGGGCUUGUAACCUAGGGCCCAGCAAGGGAAGAUCAUCGUGCACCCUGCACUUUCCCAGUCUGCCCAACCUCUAUUCACAUUUAGUAAAAAAAAAAUUGUAUUUGAUUCUAAAAAGGGGCAAAGUCAGAUGUUAAAUCCAGCACCCCCCGUGGAAUACCCUGACCGUUGGUUUAGGACACUGUCUCUAUGUAUUGGAUUCUCCUGCCCAAUUUAACUCUUCCAAAGCCUCUUACAGCUAUUAUAUUUCUGUUUUUUUUGCAAAAUAAUAUGAAAUGAGUGCAACAUAGAGGUUACUUAGUAAAAAUGAUGGGAUACAAGCAUAUUUUCUGAAAGAUAGAUAAGAUAUGCUGACGGGGUAUUGUGCCUCAAGUGGGUAAUUGGUAUUUAAUCAUUUCUUUCACAUCAGCCAACUCCAUCUUUUUCUUUUCCUCCCUUUAUUAUUGGUAUUAUCUCUCUCUCUCUCUCUCUCUAGUGUGGGAGAAAGAUAGGAAGAAGAAAAAGAUAUCUUACGUCUCCAAAUCUUUCAUUUUUAAUUGGCAAAUGUGUUUGACUAAGUUACCAGAAAUUGUCUCUAUAGAAAUCCUGACAUAUAACUAGAAAUUAAUUACUUCUAGUGGAGUUCUCACUAUUAAAUUCACCUCCUUUUUGCACCAUAUUAGAUAUCAUACUAAUAUUUGGAUUUGGGGUAUUUGUAUUGGAGAUAUUUACCUGCAUCAAAAGGAACUUGUUUGGUGUUGGACCAUUUUCCAACCACUGUUUGCUCAUAUAAGCUGCUUGACAAUCCAUCAACCUACAUAGAAAACUUGAUACAUAAGCUAUCACAAUUAAGCCAAAUCAAGUGGCGUAAACAAUGUACUCUGUUAGAUUAUUUACUGGGCAUGCUACUAAAAUUCUCCACGGUUCAAAUAAAAUCAUUGUUAGGACGCCUACGACGCUUCUGCUCAAUAUGGACUAAAAAGAUGAACAUAAAACAAAUGAAAUGACAGGCAUCCUAUUAGAGUCUAUAGAUUAGUCUACCAAGAAAAGGCUUCGUCACUUGGUCAAAAAAAUAAAAAGAAACUUCGGCAAAGGUUGAUGAAUUUGUGGAGGAGAUUACAAUAAUGUUUAGAGGCAUCCUGAAAGAAACAUUAUCUCAUUCUCAAGAAAAAUCUAUAGACAUACUGAGACCAAAUCUAAAUCACAAACAUUAAGAAUUUGUGUAUAUACUUAUGUACAACAGAUAAAUGAAGCAGUGACUAGAAAAUAAAAAUAAAAAACAAAAUAAAAUAUACAAGGAUAGUAAAAGGGACAUCAUGUUGAUGGUAAUUACGGUAGGUUUGAGAACAAGAAUUGGGAGGUGUCCAAUCUUGUUAAUGAGGUCAAAGGGAGGCUUUGUAGCUGGAACAAAAUCUUCCAUGUGGUCGAUUCCAAUGUUCCUUUUACCUUGUGGUGCUCUAACGAGUACGCACCACUUGUAUGAUGUUUUUGGUACUCCUGGUACCGCCCAAGUUUUUUAAUAGAUUUUUAAUUGAUCAAAACAAAAAAAAAAAAAAAGGUAAUUACGGUGGACUAUCUAUCGAGAAAAUGGCACUAUCUAAGAUAUAAUAUACAAGUACAGUAGACAAAAAAGUGGGGCUGAUGUACGUAUUCAACCACAUUAAUCAUCUUCAGCCUCUUUAUCGCCAAUAUGGGGAAAUGACUUCCAUUGGCAAGGAAAAUGAAAUAUAGGAAGAGGCAACAAUAAAACAGGGAGCAAUAGAGACAAGAAAAGAAAGAGGAGUCAGAUUUCGUCUAAUGGUAUUGUUGACUACUGAGGCCACUCAACCCAAUAUCAGGAAAGCAAUUAACUCCAUAAGAAUUCUUCUACUUGAGGCAUUACACAUUUCCUUUUUCUAGUGGAUGAAUACAAUUUAAAGUACACCCAUACAUUAAUCACCUACCCAUUGUCCCAUCCCACCACAAACCGUACAUGAUUUUCCAAACUGCAUAAAAGUGUUGGUUGUGUGGCUAAAAUAGAACCUCAUAUCCUGCAAAAGUGAUCUAGAUCAGGGAGAUUCUCAAAUCAGCACUAAUUUGCUUAACCAAAUGGAAAAUACUCCGUGAACACUAAACCCUUGCAGCAUUAGACUCGGUAAGAAGCUCAUCAUGACUAUAAAAACAUCAAUUAAUGGACUUGCCACAUUAUCUUGGUAUAACAUAAAUCAUCUUGACUAAUUUUGAAGACUCUGAAAGAAUCAUCAACUUGCAAAUAUCUACCUAAUGUUUAAACCAUAAACUAAAACAUUUAAUAUGCCAAAAUAGUGAAAAUACUAAAUCUGUUCACAUCAUGAUUCCACAAUCCGACCUGGGAACACUUAAACCACCUCAACCACAUCAUGAUGUUACUCAGUUAACAGAGAAUGCUAAAAUUUCAUAUAUCUCAUACACAUACAUACGUGUUUGGGAGUAAAUGUAGUACAACAUAGUGGAAAGGUUUGCAGCAUAGCAGUUCAAGCCACAUUAGCAAAUGGAUCAUUCUGUUCACCCAAUUCUGCUAGAAUGACAAAAGCAGUUCUAUGCAAAAUUUAAAGGAUUAAAGAAUCAAUACAAUCUAGCUAAUAAUUAAUUAUAUUAUUUGUACUUAUACAGCUUUACAGCUUGCCAAUAUUAUAAAAUGCAGGAUUUUCUUCUCUAAAAUAUACAUGUGGUGCAAAGAAAUGCUAAAGAAUCAAACAAAUAACUAAUCAUACACUAUAUACUAUCCAGCUUUGUACCACAUCAAUAAUAAAUCAAAUGCAGUUUUCAGUGUCCAGAUGGCACACGAAAUAAGAAACGUGAUAUCAAGUAAUAAAUUUUGCGUCUAAAACAUUCCUUUCUACCAAAGUACACUGCUUAUGCUUCCUGCAAUGUGCUUCAGGUAAGGGUUUUCAUCUGAUAUAUUGAAAUUUGAUCAUGUAAAGAAUAUAUAAUAUCUUAAAUAUUAAAUAUGGUUCCAGAAAAGUGGUUGUUGAGUCACCAAUUUCUUUUAUGCAAGUUUUCCACUUUCAGAAAAGGGAUUGUGCUGCCUCAGUAUCCUCCUAUUCAUUUAUGUCCUUGAACAUUGCUGGCUUCAGACCAAUGUUUAGUUGAAAACUUCUAAUCUAGGCUGACAAUUAAAACCAUUUUUCUAAACUGACUUCACAUUCCAUUUCGUACUGGGCCAUUCUUUCCACAACAUUCCCCAAAUCAAUUAUUAUAAUCCCAAUUAUAAACUCCCCCACAUGUAAGCAUUUUUUUUCAUGAGAUUAUCCAAUUCUCAUCUAAAUAUUAAUUCAACUUGUAUAGAUUGCCUACAUAUGGUCCAUGGGUGUCAUGCAACAUACAACCGGUGUGUACAUGGACACAAUUAACCCUGAUGCAUAGACUAAUACAUCAUGUUACAUAGAUGAAUAUAUGAGAGCUUAUAAGGCCACUAACAGUUUGGUGUCAGCCCUGCAUUCUCAUUUUUUUGAGGAAUUCUACAGUACUCUAAUUUCAUAUGAUGGGGCCAAACUACCUUUUUGGCAUUCUAUAAAUCUACCCCUUCCCACUAGUUUCCUUCGCCUUCAACUACCAGCAAGACUUCUUUCUGAGAUCUCCCAUAAACUUGUUCCACAACCUCAUCUCAGAAAAUCCGCCCAGUUCCAUUGAAGCAAUGCAACCCAAUGAGAUUGCUGAGCUUCAUUUGUUAUUUCCUUCAAACUCAGCACAAUAUCCUCCCAAUUUUGGCUCAACCAGUAACUACCCACCAGCUUAUCAGUUUAGCAGGUUCCCCAACCCUUUAUAUAACCUCCAUGCCACACCCCAACUUCAAGAAUUCAAUCCUCAGACAACAUGUUUCAGCAGUAAUUCGACGUCUGAUGAAGCAGAUGAGCAACAACUAAGCAUAAUAAACGAGAGGAAGCAAAGAAGAAUGAUUUCAAACAGAGAAUCUGCAAGACGAUCACGCAUGCGCAAACAGAAACACUUGGAUGAGCUUUGGUCACAAGUAGUCUGGCUCCGUAACGAGAAUCACCAGCUCGUAGACAAACUGAACCAUGUAUCAGAGCGUCAUGACCAAGUACUCCAGGAAAAUACUCAACUCAAAGAAGAAGCUUCAGAGCUUCGUCAAAUGCUUACUGACAUGCAGCUGAACAGUCCUUAUCCUAGCUUACGAGAGCUUGAUGACGAUCCCAGCAGUGAAUUGGCUUAAGCAUGAAUAAGUACUCAACUUUCUUCUUGCGUUUCCUGUUUUGUUGCUGAGAGAGAUGCUAUUAUUUCGUCUUAUCUUAAUCCCUUUAACCCAUUGGCGUUGUCUCGAUCAAUAUGAAACAAAAUCCAGUUAUUAUUCGUAUCGUAUGAGAUAACAGCUAUGCUGCAAUAAAAUCUAAUUUAAUAAAUCCAAUGAUAUUGUCAAAAGGCUAAAUUUAUUUUUAAGUCCUGGGAUUAGAUUCCUCCACAACACAGACGCCAAAAUUUCUGAACUGCGACCACUUAGUAAAUGUCUACUGACAGACGCAGGCACUACUAAAAAGCACGAACUGCAACAAGAAUCAGUCUCUGAAUCCGAACAAGCAACUGCCCCGACACAAUUUCAGAUACCCAAUUCAGACACUUCCAAACAUAGCAACCAAUACCUAAAUAUAGAAAAACUAAAUACAAAGACAUGAUGCACAAACAAGAGAGUAAAAAAAGUAAAAUAGAGACAAUUUCCUCAGAGUGUCAUGCACUAUUUCCACAAGCUACACUAUGGAAAAUGAAUGACCAAACAGAAACAUUUGCUGUUUUUCAAAUUCACCAAGCAGACAAUAAGGCAAAACAUCACAGAUGAUUCAGUUUUGGCUAAUAAAUAUGUUCGGUGUGGCACUUAGGGACCACUUGAAUUCCUCCAAGUCAUAUUCAGUUCGGCAUCUAGGGAACACACUGUGCAUUAAUCUCACCAUCUUCAAUUUUCAAAGCCACAUAUCAGCUUUAUCUACGAAUUCUUCUCUUCAAACAGUAUUGAUUUAUACUAACGAUGAAAAUAUAUUCUAUUUCGAAGACAAAUCAUGCGACAUUGCCAUAUAAGGUUUCCAUGAAGAAAAUGGCAAUUAAGGAAUAGAAAUUCACCGAGCAUUAGGGAUUUAAUCUGGAUAAUGAAAUUGCAACUCCGUAAUUUCACCUGCAAAUAAUUACAGCAGCUCAUAACUAAAACUGAUUUGCGAGAAUUACAGUUUCAAUUUAAAAAUAUUCAAAUUCCACUCACCUCCCUCAGCUAGGAGAGUUCCAGGGUUUGAAUUCGUUUCUACAGAUGUUUCAAACGCUUAAGCUGUUCUGUAGUUUUUAUUUUCUUUUAUUUUUUAUUUUCUUUUAUUUUUUAUUUUCAUUUCCCCAAAAUAUAUUGCGUGAUUGUAACUAAUUGUAACGAAUCAAGGGUUUCUUGAAGUAAAACUCAUUCUUUUAGUUAUACUCCUCAUUUCCAUUCCAACUCAAGUAGUAGUAUUUUUUUUUUUUAGGCAUAAUUAUAUAGGAGGAGGUUAAUUAAUUAAAUCAUUAAAUAGUAUUGUGAAAACCAGGGGCUUAGCCCACUGGCCACCGGGUCCUCACUUGAGUGAAGUGACCCGGGUCCGAUCCCUCUUGGGAGCGAAUUGGAGAUUGGAGAUAUAAGGUGGAUUUUGGUGAAUGGAGAGAUAAGGUGGUUCUUGGAGUGGAUGAGGAACUAACUACUUACAUCUAACAUGAUUUUGCCCGAUCAAAAAAAAAAUUAAAUAGUAUUGUGAAAAAUUAAAAACUGAAGAAUCUUAAAGAUUUUCAUUUAAUUACUCAAAUAUAUUUAGAGCUGGCAAAAUUAGUCCUAUCCGAUGAGCCGGCCCAACUUAGCCAGAUUUAGGAUUGGUCUAGCUCAAUAAAAUAGAGGCCCAAAAAAAAUAGGCCUUAAAAAAGUUGUUGGGCCGAUUGGGUUUUGGGGCUAAAAAGCCGGGGUAUUUGAGUUUUUUGGUCUAUUUGAUUUUUUUAAUAAUUAACUUAUAAUAUUUACUUAUAUAAUUAUAUAUUUUAAAAUUUAAAAUAAAAAAGAAUUAUUAACAUAUUCAUGCUCAGAUUUCACUCUCAUGUUAAUUGAAAUUUUUUAGUUUUUUGAAUUAAACAUGAAAAACAUGAUAUAUCUUGAAUUAAGUAUGAGGUAUAAGUUAAUUAAAUAUGUAUAUGCAUAUUGCAUGCAUUUAAAUUAUUUAUUUUUAUAAACCCCUUCAGGAUAUAAUGAAUAUUAUCAUUCCUCUUUGAUUUUGUUGUGAAAUUGAGUUUGCCCUCACUACAAGAAAAAGUAGUAUUUGUGACGAAUUUUUAUGACAAAAUCAAUUUUUGUUACAUUUAGAUAUCUUAUGUGAGGAAAUUUAUUAUCGUCACAUUAAAUUCUAAAAUAUGGGGUCACUUUUACAAUUAUCUUUAAAAUUAGGUCCUUAUAAGCAAAAAACUAAAAUCCCUUUUUUUUCAUUCAAUUCAAUUUGAUAUUCUAAUUCCUCUCGCUCUCUAUUAUUCAGAACUCAGCAAUCCUUUCUAGAUCCUCUUUCAAGUGUUAAUAGGCAAAAGUGCCCCAUUCCUUAUUCAUAUUUUGAAAAAUGCCCACCUUUAUCAUACAAAGCUAUCCAUGCCCUAAAUUACUAAUUAACCCUUGAGUGGGUCAACAUCUUAAGUAAUCAUUUCGGUCUUCUUACACAAUCUUACACAUUUUUAAGUUCCAAUGCAUUUUUGUACAAUAAUUUGUGAUGUUGACCGAAAUGAUUACACACUGAGUGUGUAAUAUGAUUUUUUUAAACUGUAUAUAUAUUAUCGACCGGAUAAUUUAAAGUGUAAAUAUUAUCGACCGGACACUAAUUAACACUUAAACAAUAUAUUAAAUUAAAUUCAGCAAAAUAGUAAAAAUUAAUAUAAAGAUAGCAAUAGAUAGAAAAAACACUUUUAUGUUGAUAUACCAUCGAUCCGGCCGGUGAAAUGGCCAGAGAAAUGUAUCCGACCGGGUACAUUUCCGAAAAACAAUGACCCGGCCGGAUACAUUUUUCCUUGAAAAUUACCGGCCGGAUAGAUAUUAUUUAGGCAUAAAAUAUUAUAUUUUAUUCAAUUUCAUAAAAAAAAAUCAAGAAGCUAAUAAUAUAUAUCCAUGCGUAUCUAUCUUAAAUUUUUAUUUUUUUCCCUUUAAUAUCUUAAUUUCAAUACAUAUAUUCUUUGAAAUUAUUUGUAUAUAUUGUGUUAUUCUUGAAUGUUGAUAUAUAGUAUAUAACACUAUAUAUAUCGUGUUAAUUAAUCCAUAUCUUUAAAUAUAUAUAUAUAUAUACUCAAAAUCCGUCCCAAUUAAAUGCAUGCGUGUUACCCAAAAAAAUCAUGCAUGUUACCAAGUGAAUUUUGCAACAACCGAUACAUAAAGGUCAAAAAUAUCUUUCUAAAAAAUUUGAUUCUCUUUUGAUAGACAUAAAGCCGAUACAAUCGGCUUCAAUCACAUUUUUUUCGAAGCUUUUAACACCACUAUAUUUACCUUCCUUCACUAGGGUUUUUUACUCACCACACAUAUCGGCUUCUUCACUUUUUUUUACCCACCGAGAGAGUUCAAAAUAUUGAAGCACGUCGUACUCAUCAAUGGCAUCUUCUUCACAGGUUUUUAUUUUUAAUUUUCAUGAAAUUGAAUAGAAUAGAAUAAUUUAUGCUAAAAAUCGAUCGGUCCGGCCGGUGAAGUGGCCGGAUAAAUCGGUCCGGCCGAAUUCAUUAUUUAAAUGAAAUAUACGGCCGGAUUGAGUUUUCCGGGAACUUCACCGGCCGGACCGAUCGUUUUUUAGCAUAAAAUAUUCCAUUUUAAUUAUUUGUAUGUUUAUAUUAAUCAGUUAGUAAUUUACUGAAUUUAAUUUAAUUAUAUUUGGUUAAGUAAUUAUUAUUGCGAGUUUUGCUGGGUAUUACUGAAUUUGUUUCAAUCUGAAAUAUUUGUUUAAGUAAUUAUAAUUGCAUUGUGUAUGUGGGCUUUGUGCGAUUUAAUAAAUUAAAGUAUUUUAUGCCGAUAGAACAACUACCCGGCCGGCACUAUGCCCGGAAUAAUGAGUCCGGCCGGGACAGUUUCAAUCUGAAAUGUACCCGGCCGGAUUCAUUUUACCGGACACUUCGCCGGCCGGAUAGUUGUUAUUUAGGUAUAAAAUACUUUUUUCAGUCUAUCUGUAUGUUUACGUUAAUUAUUACUAUUUUACUGAAUUUAAUUUAAUUAUAAUUGUUGAAUUAUUAAUUAAUGAAACUGUUAUUUCUUGGUAUUAAUUAAAUUGCAGUUUUUUAAUAUUUUACUGAAUUUAAUUAAAUUGCUUGGUAUUAAUUGCAGUUUAAUAUUUUACUGAAUUUUUACUGAAUUUAAUAUUAAAUUGCUGAAUUACUCGAAUUUUACUGAAUUUAAUAUUAAAUUGCUGAAUUUUACUGAAUUUAAUUGCAGUUUAAUAUUACUGAAUUUACUGAAUUACUAUUUUAAUAUUUUACUGAAUUUGACUAUUUUUCUCGAAUUUUAGUAUUUUACUGAAUUAUUGAAUUUUAAUAUUUUGCGGAAUUUAAUUGCAGUUUAAUAUUACUGAAUUUUACUGAAUUUAGUAUUAAAUUGCAGUUUAAUUAAAUUGGUUGGUAUUGAUUAAAUUGUAGUUAUUUAAUUAUGCCUAUUUGUAUUAUUUUUUAAUUUUUUUACUGAAUUUAAUAUGGUAUUCAUUUUGUAAAUGAAUAGGCGAAUGUCCCAUAUCUUCGUCGCGACACUAUAGACCAGACGGAGGUUGCUAUCAGCACCUACUAUAGGGAUUCACAUUUUCCGGAGCUGGUUGAAACUUUAAAUGUGGUCGGCGAACAGUGCAAUUCAGAUUUAUUGGGAAGAUUUAGAGCAUCAUGUUUUGGGCAUUUCACUGAUUGGAGGCCCGGCGCGAAGAGCAAUAAAGCAUUACACCAGAUUAUAUCGAGGCAGAUUGUGUCAGAAGAAAAUGAGAUCUGCUUCUUUCUGUGCGGAGCACGAGUCAGAUUUUCCCCUGCGGACUACGCAUUAGUGAUUGGGCUCAAUUUCGGGGGAUCGAGGUUCGAUGCGACAUUACAGCACGACUGCAGUCGCGUGGAGGCAUACCGACGAUUCUGCGGUGCGCGAAGCAUGACCAUACAGUCGCUCAUCAAACGCGUGUGCGAUUUGGAUCGUCGAGUGGAUGAUGAGGAUGGGAGCCUGUACCUUCGUGCUGUCCUCGUCUGCGCGAUCUAUUCGAGGGACAGGUAAUCAGUUAUUUAAGAUUAUCCUCCACACCGUUACUGGUUUUACUUAUGUUCUAAUAUAUUAUCUUUGUCGCUUUCUAGGGUGGGUGUCAUGCCCCUGGACCCGAUGUGACGAUCUGUCGAGUCACUACUUCAUAUCAGCGCUGACACCGGGCGAACUCUCGGUGAGCUUCAGGCCCCCCGACAACCCAUUAGCUCGGGGUGUCCAAUUUCCACAGGGCACCGGAGCCCGUGUUGUGGAGGAGCGCGGGGACGAGGAGGAUGUACCUAGAUAGCCUCGUACGACUCGCAGUCACAGUGUCCGGGGCCCUGUGAGGGAUGCUCGACAGCACGAGCCGGCUCGUCAUUCAGUAGAUCCGGGCUCGCGCCCUGUGAGGGAUGCUCGACCCCACGAGCCGGCUCGUCAUUCAGUAGAUCCGGGCAAGCGCCCAGCGCCGCAUACUUCUUCAUCGUCGAGCGGAUCUCGGACUGUAUCCAGUCCCAGCGAGGGUGAGGUGGAUCGUAAGUGGGUGAAGAAGACGAUCCGUCAGGAGAUUAAGAAGGCCUUCGGCAAAUUCGUGGAGAAACUGAAGAGCAAGGGUAAAAAGGAUAGGUGCAAGAAGAGCAAACAUUUCCGAGUGCCCGACUCCCCUGAUGAUGAUGACCAGCGACGGUCCCCUGAUCCUCCACAGCCACGGUCUCCUCCACAGCGACGGUCUCCUCCACCCAGUGCUUCAGGGCCCGACGCUUCAGGGCCAAGCGUUUCACGUUCCUGCGACGACGACCCCCGCGGUGAGGAACCACGCCAUCCAGAGACCCAGGCCUACCCAUCACGCCCUUCAGAUUAUGCCCAUUCCCGCCCAGCAGAGACCCAGGAUUACAACGAGCAGUGGCGGGCCAUGAAUCAGUCUGUUCAGGGCGACUACACACCGGCAGAGCAGACUUUUGACUGGUCGACCCAGGUCUACCCUCAUUGGUCUUCCCCAUUCCUGAAGCCGCAGUAUAGAACAGAGACCCCGAUAUUCUUUGCUGAACCGCUCACUUCUAUUGCACCACAUGAGUGGGGACAGUCCAGUUCGGCAGGACAGGCUCAGACGGAGGAGCCUGAGCCACAGGCAGAGCAGCCACAGGUACUGCUGCUGCAGCACCUAGAGCAGCCGCCGGCAGAGCAGCCGCCAGCAGAGCAGCCGCCAGCAGAGCCCCCGCGUCGCAGUCAGAGGGUGAGGCGUCCGUCUAACUAUCAGCGAUCGCCUUGGGUUAAUAGCCAAAUGCCACGUCCAGUGACACAAGUCUGCAGUGACCAUUAUGAGAAGUGGAUGGCUAGGUGUCGAGAGGGUAGGGGUCGUGAGAUUUGUUGCGCCGGUGAAUCUCCGGCUGAUAGGUCUAAAUAAGCAUAUCUUUGGAUUGCUUCCAAUCCGUCCCCACCUUCGAAUGUUGCACUGGAUUCACCUCCAUACCCGGAAGAUUGAGGGAGAUCGAACGAAGGAACAUACACUCCUCCACUGUAAUCGUCUUCAACAACAUAAAUCUCAAGAAAAUGUGGCUGCGACGCCAGCAACUGAAGCAAAUCAUUGUCAUCGGCAAGAAUAUUUUUACUGUAUACCCUGCCAUUUAAUCUCUUCGUCAAAUAAUACAAGCUGUAAUUAGUGCUCAAUGAAUUCUCCAUCAUCAGGUAAUUUAUCAUGUACACCGUACUGGCCAUUGUGUCUCCGAAAAUAUGCAAAUUCUUAGAAGAGUCGCCGAUGUACUCAUAACCAUUGAAGGCACCUCCAUAAUUAACCACAAAGUAUCUCCCAUAUUCAUUCAUCUACAGAAAAAAUAAUAAAUAAAUAAAUAUAUGAUGUAAAUGUAAUACAAUGUUAAAAUACAACAUAUAACAUGUUAAUACACUCGAAAAACAUCUAUCCGCCCGGGGAAGUAUCCGAAGAAAUGUGUCCGGCCGUGUAUUACAUGAUAUAUAAUUACACACGGCCGGACACAUUUUCGAGGACACUUGUCCGGGCGGAUACAUAAUUUUCGAGCAUAAUAACAUGAGUUAUGUAGCAAUAUAUAUGUAUAGAACUAAAAUGCAACUAAUAAAUUUACUAAUUUAAUACUUUAAAACAUGAUAGAAUUUGCUCUAAUUCACAUGUAUUUCCUUCAAACGUGGCUUUAAAUCAUAGUAUGCUAUAAUAUGCUAAUAAUUCACAUAAGCAUAUAGGAUCAAACAAAACAUUGAAAAUAAACAAUAACCAACUUAAAUUACAUUUCAACGUAAAAUGACAUACCUUUAAACGUUCGGAUGAGAGAAUUCACAAAUAAUAGCUUCACCACUUGGAAAAUAUUAGAAUUUCUAAUGAGUUUGAGUGUUUUUUCACUUUGAGUGUUCGGAUGAGAGGAUGAGAGAAUGAGAGAAUUCACUCAUAUAUAAACAAAGAUUCCUUCAUUUCACGUGAAUUUCAAUGAAAUUAGAGUGUUUGACAUGAAUACUUUACUGACAAAGCUAUUUCACAUCAUAUUUGUCGUUUAUCAUCAAUUUAAAAAAAAAUUAUGUCCCUUAAUUGAAGGCUAAUUAAUCGAUGGAAUAUAAAUACAAAAAAUUAACACAAUCCAUAUUAGCACUCAAAACACACAUAGGAACCAAAAAAACAUCUAUCCGACCGGAACAUAUAUGUGUCCGCCCGGUGAAACCUUGUGUCCGGUCGGACACUUGUUUUUCCCGGUCGGACGCGUUUUUGUUUUUUUUCCAAUGUGUGUUUUGAGUGCUAAUAUCGAUUGUGUUAAUUUUUAGUAUUUAUUUUCCAUUGAUUAAUUAGCCUACGAUUUACUUGUAAAACCUUCGAUUUUAAUUCAAAAAUAAAUAAAUAUUAUUUUCUCUGUCAGUAUUUCACAUGUUCCAACACAUAUUUGACCGAUUUCAAUGUUUAAAUUGUUGAAUUGAUGUUUUUCUUACACUUUAACAACUUUUGUCAUAGAUGUGUAAGUACUUUUGCGGAAAACAAUGCACAUCCAUCACAUUCAAAGGGCAUUUUCGGUUCUUCACUUAUUUAGGGCAUGUAGUGCUUUGCAUGAUAAGGGUGGGCAUUUUUCAAAUUAUUCAUAAGAGAAAGGGCACUUUAAAUUUUGCCUCUAAUAAUUUCCACUUUAAUUCAAUUAAUUAAUUCAACUAAAAAAAUAUUAUUAUUUGGUUUGAUAUAUUAUAGAGGGAAAUCUUAUUAUAGCCCCAUUUUAAAAUAACAUAAGUUUUAUAGCCCCAGUUUCCAAUACAUAAGUUAUAUAGCCAUUUUAGGCUUAAAAAUCUAUAACGUCUUUUGUCUUUUAAGCCUAAAAUAGUUAUAUAACUUAUGUAUUAUAAAUUAGGGCUAUAAAACUUACAUUCUUAUGAAAAAUGGCUAUAUGUAAUAAUUUCCACUAUAUUAAAUUAUUGACAAUUUAAGUUAUUUACGUUGUGUUUUUUUUAGUGAUAAGAAAUUAAAUAAAAAUAUUAAUUUACCAACUAAUUGUCACGCAAGAAUAAAUACGCCACGUCAAAAUUGGCACAGUACCAUAUUAUAUAUUAGCUUGGUAUUUGGCCGGAAUUUAGAUUAGUAGCAAAAUCAGAUAAAAUCAAAAGUUUAGUAAUCAUCACGCUACAAUUCAAAGUUUGUGUGCAAAAUCAGAAUUGGAUGAAAGUUCAGUAUUUUAUGGACAAUUAACCCUUUAUUAUUCCUUUUAUUAUUUAAAGAUGAUCAAUAAUAGUUCAUCAUUUGCUCUCCUAGGUGACUCGAACUCCCAUCUAUUGAUUGAAAUUAAGGCGUCAUAUCAAUUGAAUUCCACUUCAUUGUCAACUUGUUCACUUAUUUACCCAUAAUCAAUUUAACAUUAAUAUUGUUAGAGCGGCCACAUUAUCACUCAAAAUUUGGUGUGAUAAUAUUAUCCCUCAUGGCAAGCUUCCCAGUUGACCUGUUCCCUAGCUUCCCAAUAUCCACCAAUGUCUCCGAUCCUUUGUCUUUCACGAACCAAUGUGGCUUCCACCCUUUCUCUUGCAUCGACCUGGCCUGUUUCCAAUCAAAUCCACCACAUACUUUAAUGGCUUGAAUAAUUUGAGCUUACUAAUCUCAUGUAUUGCCAAUUUAAACACCCCCUCGUAUCUCGUGUAAGAUGUAUUUGGAGAAUGCGUUCAUGAAUUUAAACGAUAGCAGAGAAUAUAGGCAGGGACGGAUCCAGAAUUUUUUUGUCAUGGGGGCAUAAAAUAACUAUAUAUAAAAUUUGUUAAAAAAAACUACAUUCUUUGAAAAAAAAAUUACUACAUAAUAAUUCAAGUUUAUUAUAAUUGAAACCUACAACAAUAAAAAUUUAUUAUAUAAAAUAUAAUAUAAUUUAUAAUUACAGAAUUCAUAAUUAAUAUAUUAAAAUUUAUAUAAUAUAAUUAAUAAAAAUUUAUACAAAAAUAAUAAAGACAUUAAAAAUUUUAUAAUCACAGAAUUAUAAGAUUACAGAGUUUUAUAAAAAUUUAUAUUAUAAUUAAUGAAAAUAUGUACUCCCUCCGUCCCAAUAUUCAAGUCCCCUUUCCUUUUUUGGCAUUAAUUAGCAUACAAUUAAUACAUUUAAUUAUGUCUCUCUCUCCUCUCACAAACCAACCCACCUGCCUCUCUCUCUCUCCUCACUUCUCUCUUCUCUCUCAAAUCGUCAUCUCCCCCCUCUCUCAUCUUCUUCUUUCACCGCCUCGCCGCCUCCACCUUCCACCGCCUCGCCGCCUCCACCGCCUCUCAGCAAGGAAUAAGGGCGGCGACUCGCCGGCGAACAGCAGCGGCGGUUCGCGGAGAGAGGUGUUGUUGUGUUGGCUUGUUGUGUUGGCUUGUGCAGUUGGUGUUGAUGUGUGAGCGUCAGUCGGGGGAGAGAGGUGAAUCGAAGCUUGAGGGGCGGAGGAGCGUGAAAUGAAUUUUUGAGGAGCGUGAAUCGAAGCUUCGGGAGAGAGGUGAAUCGAAGCUUGAGGAGCGUCAGUGCGGACGCCGGAAAUCGAAGCUUGAGGGGCAGAUUUAGAGAUCUAGAGUUUCAGUGUGAUUUAGAGAGAUGAAGGUUAGGAGAAAGGGGGAGGCGAUUGGCGGCUUUGCUAACCGUUGCGGCUGUCGGAAAUCGAAGCUUGUUGUGUUGGCCUUGCUAACCGCUGCGGCUGCCGGAUUUCAGAGGGAGGCUGGCGGCUGAGUUGCCGGAGGAGGCGGCUCUCUCCUUAGCGAUUUAGCGAUUGAGUGUUUUGUGUGGGUGUUAAUUAAGAAAUAAAAUAAUACUAAUUAAAACACUAAUUAUGUGGUCCCUACUGUUUUUACAUCUAUUUUAACUCUCCUAAAUACCCGUGCCCAAAAGAAAGGGGACUUCAUUAUUGGGACGGAGGGAGUAUUAUAAUUACAGAAUUUUGAGAUUGACAAUAAUAAAAUAUAAUAAAAUUUAUAUAAUUAUACAUAUAUAAUUAAUAUAUAUAGAAAAUGUUGUUUUCCGUAAAAAGGUUUUAACGAGGCUCGGCCCUUAGUCUGCUUUCUUGUGCUCUCAAGGUUCAUUAGGUUUUUUCUUUUUCUUUCUUUAUAAAAUUGCAUUUUAAUAAUAUAGAAAAUGUUGUGGGGGCACGUGCCCCCGUACUGGGAGCCGUGGAUCCGUCUCUGAAUAUAGGCAACAAUCAAAAUCAAGGUCGAGACAAUUUGGAUCAAGACUGUGAAACACUCAGAAGGGACAUUAUGUUUACUUGCAUAGGCACUUGUUACUGAACUAAAAUGUUUGAGCACAAGUAUUAUGAGGUAUAACAGGUAAUGUCUGCAAUAUUCGUGAAAAACUUUCAAGUUCGAGAGUAAGCCCAGAAGUCACGAGAUCAACUAGUUACUCCCCAUUUUCCAAGCACCUCUGAUCAGGCCUCAAUCUUGAAUCUGUUGUCUCCUGCAAAAAGGUGUUGAAUCCAAUGUCACGAAACUUAAAACGACACAUUCCCAAUAUGUGUACCACAGCAUAUGGAUUGCACACUUUGAACACCAAGGCAGCAUCCGAAUCUAAUGGGUCAAAUUAUGUACUCAUAGAAGCAUUAUUGACUUCUUCCUAUGGGAUCAAGUUUGUGAGACGGUCUAACAAGAGACCUAUCUUCAAAUAUUAAUACAACCAAACACAACUAUUUCACAGCAAAAUAUUUUUUUUGACUGCAACAUGCUGCAAAAUAUAAUUGGCAAACUGGCUUAGAAAGGUAACAAAGGGAAAUUAAUAAGAUCACCAUUAAUCCUGGAGUAAGCUCAUUCAUUGUGAUGGCAAAGCGAGUCAAGUUAUAACGUGUUCCAUAGUAAUCGAGCUUCAGAUAGAGAUUCAUGACCUUUUCCUUUGGAGCAAUCUCCAUCAACAUAGUGCAUGCUCUCAUCCCAUUUCCCAAACAAAGUUGCCACAGUCUUUCCACUCUUGUCUUGGACAACUUCCUGCACCUGCAUUCUCAAAGUUGCUUUUAUGGAGAAAUCCUGAAGAAUAAUACUCCAGAAGCAUCUAUCUAUUAUUUAAUAGAUUACAUAUUCAAGGACUCCCCUUAAUUCAAGAUCCUAUGUGGCACAUCCUCUAUUCUCUAUUCUAAUUUAUCUUAAAUCCUCAUUUAAUCAUUCUAAUCUAUACAUUCUAUCAUCCCACAUUGAAUUUAUAGUAGUCAAUGACUACUAGAGAACACAUAUAAAAGGAUUAGAUAUAAUGUGUAUUUCUCCAUCCCUCAAUUAUUUUGCACAUUUAAUUAAAUUUGAUUUAUUAAUUAGUUGGCCAAAUAAAUAGUUUUAUUUUUAUUGAAAAUUUUGUUUUUAUCAAUUAUUAAAACGUCAAUGCUAAUUGGCUAAGUAAUUGAUUUUUUUUAAUUAGAAAAUAUUUAAGUUCACAAAAUUAUAAGUUGACGUAAUUUGAAGAAUCGUAGAAUUGCAUUUCUCCAUAUGUUAAAUAUUUGAGCAAAUAAUUAGAAAAUAUUUGCUAGAUUUUUAUAAUUUUUGAAACAUAAAUUUUUAAACUGAUGUAUCCCCUUAGAAAAAAUUGUCAUGAUUAUGUGAUUUUCUCUAUUUUUUAAUUUUAUUCAUCUCAAGUCCUCAUUUUAAUUAUUUUUUAUCCAAUCCCACAUCAAAUUUAUAGUAGUGUAUGCCUACUAGAGAACAUAUAUAAAAUGAUUAGAUACAAUGUGUAUUUUUCCAUAUUUCAAGUAUUUGCACCUCCAAAUAAACAUAUAGUAGUGUAUGCCUACUAGAGAACAUAUAUAAAAUGACUUGAAGAAAUAUAGAAUUGCAUUUCUUCGUAUGCUAAAUAUUUGAGCAAAUAAUUAGAAGAAAAUAUUUGAAAAAUUAUUAGAAUUAUGAAACAUAAACUUUUAAACUGAUAGUAUAAGAUAAAAUCAAUAUACUUCUCUUAGAAAAAAUUAACAUGUAUGAUUAUACGAUUUUCUCUAUUCCUUAUUUUUAAUCAUUUUUAUCCAUAUCUUCUCCAAUACCACAUCAAAUUUAUAGUAGUCUAUCAUUACUAGAGAACAUAUAUAAAAGGAGUAGAUAUAAUAUGUAUUUUCCCAUCCCUGAAUUAUUUUGCACCUCAAAUUAAAUUUGGUCAGUUAAUUAGUUGGUCAAAUAAAUAAUUUUAUUUUUAUUGAAAAUAUUAUUUUGAUCUAUUAUUAAGAUGUCUAGCUAAGUAAAUGAUUUAAUUUUAACUAGCAUUUACACCCCGUGCAAUGAACGGAAAAAUAUUUUAAAUUUUUUUAUUUAUAUUAAAGUAAUACUAAUUUAAUUAUCAUACUUAUAAAUAUAUAUAUAUAUUUAUAUUUUAACUGAAUAUAUUUGAGCAAAUAAAUAGAAGAAAAUAUUUUCCGGAUUUUAGAAAUUGUCAUGGAUGAUUAUACGAUUUUCUCUAUUCUCUAUUUUUAUUUUUCUUAUGUCCUUAUUUUAAUCAUUUUUAUCCAUAUAUUCUUCAAUCCUAUAUCUAAUUUAUAGUAGUCUAUGACUACUAGAGAAUAUAUAUAUAAAAGGAUUAGAUAUAACGGUAAAUAUUACUUUAAACCCCAAAUUAUGUUCACACAAUUAAUUAUAUCUUGAACUAUUGAAAAAUAUUUUUUAAGACUUAAACUAUCGAUUUUGUAUUAAUUGUACCCUUCAUCCAUUUUUCACUCCUUAAAUUUUCAAUUAAUAAAGCAUAUAAUGAUGUUGUUUUAUGGAGUAUAAAGCAUGUUAAAAAAGGAUUGAUUUUGAAUAAUCAUAACAUCCGGCGAGCCACGUCAAAUUUUCAGAGCCAAAAAAAUAGACGAGUGGUGCAAUUGAUACAAAAUUAAUAAUUCAAGGUUUGUAAAAAAAAUCUAUAAUUAAGGAUAUAAUUGAUAGUGUAAAAAUAAUUUGAGGUUUAAAGUAAUACUAGCAUUUGCACACCGUGCAAUGCACGGGAAACUUUAAACUUUUAUAUUUAUAUAAAACUGAUAUCAACUCAAUUAUCAUAUCUAUAAAUAUAAUUUAAAAAUAGUUUUAACUUAAUAUAUUAAUUUGAAAUGUAUAUUGAAAAAAUAAAAAAAUUACAAUAAUAAAAAUUGAUGUAAUGAAAAGAAAAAAAUUACAAUAUACUCCCUCCGUCCCAUGAAGCAAGAUCAAGUUUCCUUUUUGGUCUGUCCCACGAAGCAAGACCAGUUUCUAAAAGUAGCAAAAAAUUUACUCUUUAUUCACCUUUUCACUUUUUCAUCUACCACACUUAACACACAAAAUACCAAUUUCGAACUUGGUCUUGCUUCAUGGAACGGAGGGAGUAUAUUGCAUACUGCAUUCAAUCCAGAAGUUUUUAAAGAUAGAGAUAUUUUGGAGUAACUAACGAGAUGAUUAUUCGUGUAAAUUUUGCCGGCAUCAUUAACCAAUUAUUGAUUUAUAUUUUGUUUAUUUAUAUACAUAUUUUAUAAAUUUAAAUAACUUCAAGAAAUUAAUUGGUAUUACACACACACAUAGAUAUAUAUAUAUAUAUAUAUAUGUAUAUGUAUAUAUAUGGGUUUGGGACGAUAAUAAUAUUAAUAUCAUCACAUAUAUAAUUAGAAAAUGGAAUACUCCUAUGUAGCAUCACCAUAGUUAUGCAUUUUUAUCUAUCCUAUUUCUCAAAAAAAAAAAAAAACAUAUUUAUUAAUUCUUAUUUAUCUAAAUCUUCUCAUCCCACAUUGAUUUUUUUUAUGAAAAUUUACCAAUUGAAAUACUAAAUAAAUUGAUACUAUAAUUUGAAUCUCGUAUCAAUUUGUUAAGUCUUAGACGAGAUGAUUCUCAAAACUUAGUUAUGGUCUUUCAAACUUCAAAUAAGAUGAUGCUUACCCAGUUUUAUUCUUUCAAACUCCAAACGAAAUGAUGGUUGAAAUUCAGUUAUUCUAUUUUAAGCUCCAAAUGAGAUGAUGCACAUAACUAUAUAUGUUAUGGUUUUUGAAGCUCCAUACAAGAUGAUGUUUAGAAGUUAGUUAUGGUAUUUUAAACUCCAAAUGAGAUGAUGCACAUAAUCAUGUUAUGGUUUUUCAAGCUCCAUACAAGAUGAUAUUUAAAAGUUAGUUAUGAUCUUAUAAGCUUCAGAUUGUAUAAUCUCACAAAUCAGCCCUGAUCUUUCAAGCUCCUAAUGAAAAUAAUGUUUAGAAGUAAGUUAUGAUAUUUAAAGUAUCAAAUAAUGAUGUUCAAACGAUUGACGCAUAAAAGCCAGAUAUAUUGUUUCAGGGUCCAGACGAGAUAAUCCUAAAAAAUUUGGCGUUCAAAAGUUAAAUAUUGUCUUUCGAGUUCUUGAUGAUCCUCUGGUCUUAUAGAGUUGAGAUGGGAUGAUGCUUAUAUGACAUAUGAGAUCUUAAAUUAAUUUUUACCUGUCAAUAUAAAAAAAUUGUACAAAAUUUAUAUAAAAGAGUAUUUUUAUUAUUCUAGCAAAAAAUGAACAUUUAAUUGACGAAUAUAGUUGAAAUUAAUAUAACAUAAACUCUAUUAAAAAUAAUAUAAAUAAUUUAAAUCAAAAUUUAAAGUCCCGUCGAAUUUCGACGGGUUAUACACUAGUAGUUACAUGAAAGCAUCAACUUGUCAAGAUAUAAGAUAAGUUAUCAGGAGAAUCUUCAUCUAGCACCAAAUAUUGUUGCAGAAAUAUGCUGAGACGCUAUUCAGUUUGCAGGGUUUAGUUAUUUUACAAUUGUACACGCACCAACAAAAUUAAGAUAACUCAGUUUCAUCAACAUAUAUAAGCCUGAUUCGAAAUGUGUACAAGCCUUUGAUUCCAUGAAACAUAAUGGUCCAUUUCCAUUUAUACGACAUUAUUUAAGAUGGUUUAUACCAGAAUAAAUGUUGACAUUUUCAUUUUCAUUAGCAUGGUAAAUAGAACCAUGUUUUGCAUUUUAGUGAUUCAUGGAUUAAAAAGAAAUUAAACCAAAAUUUAUAUCAUCAAACAUUUCCAUCUUGUUUAUAUUAACUUUUUCAUUUCGCAGGACACUUUUUCUUUCUUAUUGUAAAAGAGAAAAGACAUAAAACAUAAUUUCACAUGCCUCAAGAAAAAGAGAAAAAAACCAAAGUUACCUACUUUAGAUAGGUAUAAAAGAUAUUAAUGGUAUGAGAGAGCACCUGAUGAGGAUUCCGGUCUAUGAUGGACUGCUCCUUGAAUAAUUAAAUGUGGUAAUGUGGUGUGGUCCACCAAAAAGUAUGAGUACUCUUUUUAUGAAAAGACUAAAUAGUACUCUCUUAUUAUUACUUAAUAAAGCCUUAAACAUUUCCAUAUUAAGACUGAGCCAAUUGGAGUGGGACAACCUAAAAUGGAAAAUGAGGCUAUUGGAGUGGGACGAAUGUAGUAAUAUUAUUAUUAAUAAUUUUAAUUUUUUUAGUUUAUUAAUCACUAAUUUGGAUAGUUCUAAUUAUUGUUAUUUUCAUCAUUAUAUGAUACUAAUUAUUGUUAUUUUCAAGUUUAUAUAAUAUUUAUGUUGUUAUUUUCGUGUCAGAAGUUGAAGAUAUGAAAUUAUUUUAUUUUUUUAUUUUUCUUUUGUUAGAGAAUGCUACUUGAUAUUGGUGUAACUAGGGUUGUCGAUCGGUUCGGGUUCGGUUAUCCGUACCCGAAUUUUCGGUUACCCGAACCCGAAAUUGUCAUAUUUCACUAACCGUUUUCGAACCGUUUUAGGUAUUCGGUUACCCAAUAACCGCUUCGGUUACCCGAUUCGGUUAUUUGUGUAUCCGAAAUACCCAUUUAAAAAAUUUAAAUUUAAAUAAUUUGCUAGAUAGAGGAUUUGAACCUUAGUCUCUAAAAAAUACACAAAGCAACUUAUCCAUUAGACUAAAGCUCAUUUUUAUACCUUAAAUAUAUCAUAAUUUUAUUUUAGCUAAAAAUCGAUUUAAAAAAAUAAAUUAAUUAAUUAAUGAAUUAAUAAUUAAAAAAUAUAUAUAAUAUAAUAUUAAAUAAUUUUUGGUUAUUUUGGUUGGGUUAACCGAUACUCGAAAUUUUUCUAAAAAUGAUACCCGAAACCGAACCGAUAAUCAAAAAAUUCGAUUAUUGGAUACCCAAACCCGAGAAAUUCUGUUCUGUUAACGGAUUAUCCAAAACCCGAUAACCAAUUAGACAGCCCUAGGUGUAACAAUGAUGUUAUUCAAAUUGCGCCCACCCUAAUAAAUUAUGAAGGACUUGCAUCGGUGGACCGGUGGUUCAUUUCAACCAAUACAAGCUUGAUGGCGAACUAUAUUAUGUAUUAAUUUCACCACAAAUUGCUUACUUUUUCAACAUCUCCCCUACUCAACUUUCACAUCACAACUUAACCAUCAAAUUGAGUAAAACUAGAAAGUCAACCGUUUUCCUUAGAUAGUACUCCAUCCGUCCCAAUUUUUAGUAUCCAAAUUUCUUUUUUGAUCCUCCCAUAUUUUGGUAUUUAUUUUAAUUUUUCAUAAAAGUAGGUGGGGUCCUUACUCCACUAUAAUUAUUUUAACUCUCACAUAAAAAGUUAGACCCUUAUUCCACUUACAACACACCAAUCACUUUAUUAAAAUACGUGCCGUUCUCAAUUGGAUACCAAAAGUCGGGACGGAGGGAGUAUGAAAUAUUAAAUUUGAAUUACACGUUGUCAACAUUUGACGCACUAAGAACGUGAUACCGUGACAGAGGGCUUCCAAGACAUUACGAGACAAAAUACAUGCAUAGGUAAAAUAGAAAUAAAAAUUUUGAAUAUAAAAAAAGUUAUUAUUAUUAUUAUUAUUAUUAUUUUUAAUCUGAAAUUUUUUAAUGCACAUGAUUGAACAUAAAAAUACAUGUUUAUAAACAUAAAUUUGCAUAACUUUGCACACAAAAAUGCAUUGCAUAUUUUGUGGCAACAACAUGCAUAUUUUUGUGUGCAAAGUUAUGCACGAUCUCUAUUUAAUUAUAUAUAUAUAUAUAUAUAUAUAUAUAUAUUUUAAUAGUUGAAAAUAAUUUUUUUAUCUUUGAGGGGGUUGAAAAGUAGUCUUGGUAGCAUUAAAUUCUAUCUGUGCCAUGCAUAUACAACAAAUUUAUAGUGUCCAAAUCAUACAGCUUUGCAAAUAUUGUCCAAAAUUUAUUCUGGUCCAUCCAAAGCUCCAUUGUAUAUCACGAACUCUUGAGCAAUAUAUAUAACCUUUAUUACAACAUAAAUAAUCAAAUUAAUCAUCAUCUCAUAUUGAGACGCGUUAAAUUGUUUUUUCCUAAAUCCAUACAUGAUAAAUACCAAAAAUAUUUAUAAAUACGAGCUUAAUUAGAUCUGAUCUUGGCCAAAAAAAUUAUAUAUAUAUAUUUCUUUAACGUGAGAUUUGCUCACCUGCAAAUUAUAAGUCAUGUACCACGAAUUCGAUUUAUGGUUAAACAAAACCUAGUCACUCUAGGAAAUUGUUUACCUGAAAAUAUAUAUAUCCCAAUAUUAUUUUUACCUCAAUUUUUAUGGUUGACUUGCUGAAUUAGUCAAAGUAUAAGCAAACAAUUCGUGUAUUUGACAAAGAGUUGAACACUUGAAGUAGCUAGCUAGUGACUUAGUAAGAACAAGCCAAACAAUAAAUUAAUUUGAGAAAAAGGAGAUUAUCAUGUUAGAUUGUCUCAUCAUAAACGAUCAAUAAUUUGGAUUGCAAACUCCUAUUUCACUAACAAUACUAUUAUAGAUAUUCUGAUACAAUUGAAUAUAAAUUUAUAUCUAUAUCUUGACACGUGUCAUGAUGGAAAAAUCUUACACAAUAAUUUGUAUUUGAAAAGAUGAAAUUUGGCAGACGCCAAUUCAAUUACAAUAUGCUAAAAUUCUUGGGUUUUAUAUACAAUCGAAUUCCCUAAUUGAUCACACCGACAAAUUCUAAACCAAACUUCAAAUUCAACUCUAGCUAAAUUCUAGGUUUUCUCCAACUGAAUAACUCUUAAAAAAAGUUUAAAUACAAUCAUAAUAUACGAAAAGUUUAACCAACACAAAAUCUUAUGUAGCAAUGCUUUUCUCUAUAGCACUUGAAUCCAGAUAACGAUAAAUGACUCGCCUAACAGAUCUUAACUUAUCGAGCCGUAUUACACGAGACUUGCUUUUAAUCAACAGAAAAAAUUUAUGUAAGAUAAUCUGACGAGUCAAGAUCUAUCACUCAUAUAGUUAAUAAUUUUAAAAUAUUUUAUCGUGCUCGAAAUCCGUAUUACACGAUACUUGCUCUUUAAUCAACACAAAAACUUAUGUAAGAUAGUUUGACGAGUCAAGAUCUAUCACUCAUAUAUUCAAUAAUUUUAAAAACUUGUCGGGCCAUAUUACACGAAACUGCCCUAUUACGUGAGACUUGCUUUUAAUCAACACAAAACCUCACGCAAGACAGUCUAACGAGCUAAGAUCUAUCACUCACAUAUCCAAUUAUAUAUAUUUAUAAUUCAAAAUUACUUUAUAGUGCUUCAAAAUUCAGAUAAUGACUCGUCUAACAAAUCUUAACUAGUUCGAACCGUUUAACACAUAAAGAUGUCACUUUCUUGCAUUAGUGAUAGGCUAUAACUAGUCACGCUAGGGGGAGACGUGGUCUUGAGCAAGUCAAUGGACACGCCAUAGGAAAAGAUCCACAACACGAAAAGACCAAAAUACCCAUCCCUAGCCUCGUAUAAUCCUCGUCAUUCACAAGGGCAAUUUAGUGAAAUCAAACCUAAUAUUUUUCAAACGUUAGAAGCUUUAUAAAUUGGUCUGUUAGAAGACAAAGGAAAACGGCUUUCAUUGUAAUCUUGACAACUGCCACACAUUCACCAGGGCUAAUAUAAAACACACACAACACACACUCAUAUAUCCCUCUGUCUUUUUCCAAUUUUAUUAUUCCCUUGUCUUUAAAAUUAAAUUUCUUUUGGGGAAAUUCGGAAAGUGGCUUUAUUUAUUUAUUUUGUUAUUUGAUAUAUAAAAAUAAUUCGAGGGGUCUGGAAAUUACGUUAGGGUCAUAUUGUUGCAUUCCCUUUCUGCGGCCGGGGGCGUCAAGUUUCCAACUUUGAGGGAGAUCUCAUUUGGGUUUUGUUUGGUUUGAUUUGGGUCUGCAUUUCUUGAUCUCGAGAUAAAGAGGGUGAUUGUUUGGUGAUUUUAGAGAGAGAAAGGGGAGAGAGAGAGAGAUGAGCGGUGUAUCAAGAAUUUGGGAGAAGGUGAAUAUGAUGGCGGAAGGAGGAUCUCGGAAUUGUUCCAAGAAAUCUGAUGAUAUAUGUGGCGAUGCCUGUGGUGAGGUAAAAAAAAAUCAUCUUUUUUUAGGGGGUUGCGUUUUUUGCUAAUGUAUGGCAUAAAAAGAGUGUGGGUUUUUUCCUCGCCUUUUUUCUUUUUAAAAUUCUUGAAUGUCUUGUUUCGGUUUUCGUUUGGGUGGGGAUUGUGGUUUGCUUUUUAGAUUCUGUAAAAAAAAAAUUAUUUUUUUAUUUUAUUGAUGAAACAUCAAUGGAUAAAUUUUUGAUUUUGGACUAUUGGGAUGAGGGAACAUUUGAAAUUUCGUUUUGUUUAGAGCAAUUUUGAGCUGUAGUUUUGUGUGUGUGUGUGUUUUAUUGAGGGAUUAGAUCAAAUUCCCCCAUUUAUGUAAUUAUUAUUUCUGGGAAUAUAUCAGCGUGAAGAAAUUUUAAGAUCCUGUGAUUUUUCGUUUGAAUUAUUUUGUGAAUGUUGCUUUUUUCUGGUUUAUCUACCGUUAUACCUCAUUUGAUUGGAGUGGGAUCUGAAAGAAUGUCCUGUUCUCAAUAAUAUUAUUUGGCACUUGCUUGAAUUUUCAAUUUUAUUGCUCUUAUCUUAUGCCUUGCAGGAAUUAUUCUGUGAUUUGUUGUAUGGUUUUCAUUAAUCUAUUGAAAGUCAUUAAAAAUGUUGUAGGGAAAGUAAGAUUCUUGCUUUAUUUGCAAUCUGUGAGGUCCAUAUUUGAAUAGCAUCACAAUGGAGAGAAUCUAGCUGUGGAAGUUGUGUAUAUGUUGGUUCGAGUUCGUGUUGAAUCGUAUGUAUGAUUGUUGCAGUUUUUCUAAUAAAUUUGGUGUUUGUGAAAAUUGCAGGAUUCAGGAAGGGCUUUGAGCAUGGCCAGAUUGAGAUGUAUUCUGCGGGGGCUGGAUUUCAAAGCAUUGCUCUUUCUCUUUGUGUUGAUCCCGACGUGUGUCUUUGUUAUAUAUGUCCACGGCCAAAAGAUCACGUACUUUCUGAGACCGUUAUGGGAGUCCCCGCCCAAGCCUUUCCACGAGAGACCUCACUACUAUCACGAGAAUGUGUCAAUGGAGAAUCUGUGUAAGCUUCAUGGUUGGGGGAUACGUGAGUACCCUAGACGUGUCUAUGAUGCAGUGCUGUUCAGCAACGAGGUGGACAUCCUCAAGAUGCGUUGGAAGGAGUUGUAUCCGUAUGUGACAGAGUUUGUCCUCCUUGAGUCGAAUUCCACCUUCACCGGGCUGCCAAAGCCCAACCUCUUCUCAACUGUCCGCGAUCAGUUCAAAUUUGUUGAGCCCCGUUUGACCUAUGGGCAGGUCCCGGGGAGAUUCAAGACGGGAGAGAACCCUUUUGUUGAGGAGGCGUAUCAGAGAUACACGUUGGAUUAUCUUCUCAAGCAAGCCGGCAUUCAGGAUGAUGACCUUUUGAUAAUGUCGGAUGUUGAUGAGAUCCCAAGUAGGCACACGAUCAAUCUCUUGAGGUGGUGCGAUGACAUACCCCCGAUCCUUCAUCUUCGUCUCAAGAACUAUCUGUACUCGUUCGAGUUUUUCCUUGACAACAACAGCUGGAGAGCCUCUGUCCAUGUAUACCAAUCUGGCAAGACGAGAUAUGCUCACUACCGACAGUCUGAUGAGAUCUUGGCUGAUGCAGGGUGGCAUUGUAGCUUCUGCUUCAAACGCAUCAGCGAAUUCAUAUUCAAGAUGAAGGCUUACAGCCACGUGGAUCGGGUGAGAUUCUCUCAUUUUCUGAGCCCUAAGAGGAUCCAGAAAGUGAUCUGCAAAGGUGCUGAUUUGUUUGACAUGCUGCCCGAGGAGUAUACGUUCAAGGAGAUAAUCGGGAAGAUGGGGCCGAUCCCACAUUCCUAUUCGGCCGUUCAUCUCCCUGCAUAUCUCUUGGAGGCAGCUGAUCAAUACAAAUUCCUCUUACCUGGGAAUUGCAUAAGGGAAAGAGAGAGUGGCUGAGCUACACGAACGAGGUCGUGUAUCUUCUUGUACAGGUGGAGGAAGCAAGCUUCAGCUCGACUCCCGGGUAAGGGUGACCUUUAACCAAAUUCAUGGCUGCAGUGUGUGUUGUUUUUAUAACCAUGCUACAUACAUGUUCAGCCUACUUAUAUCAUUCUUGCCUUCGAGCUUUUGAGAAAACAAAGAAAAAAAAUGACAGACAUAUCUCGGACUUUACUAGAUUGAGGUUUGUAUAUAAUCGUUCGUAGACUUGAUUUUCAUGCAACCGGAUAGUGCACUGAGCGAGAGAAACGAAAAGAAAAGAAAACGGGCUCUGCUAGGAACUACUUGUUGUAACUAGGGCGUUUCCAUAAUACAUAAACGCGCUAUGACUGUGCAUUACGCCCCCUUGAAGGCGGGGGGUUGGUUCAUCGUUGUUGCUGGCCGUUUUUCUGUCUCUAGGAAAAUUUUUGGUGUGAGCAGUGAGCUAAUAUAUUCAUCUGCAGAUUGUGAAACAUGCUGUAGUGCUUUCUUGAUUUUGGAUCUUCUCUCAAACUGUUUUUUUAUUUUUUCAAUGGAGAUAUGAUGUGAUGAUUCAGCUCUUUCUUGAGAUUUUCUUGCUAUUCUUUCCUCAAUUUUUACAGCUAAGUUUUGUCUGAAAACAGAGGAUUCUUGGCUUUGUGAAGCAUUGUUUGUUGAUGGAUAGCUGGUUUCUUGUUUGUUGAUGAACUAAGAAAUUAUGUGUGGGAAGAAAAAGAAUUAAAGAAAAAAGUCAAAUGAAAUAAAGAAUCUGAUACCCUCAAUAAUUUAUGAUGGUUUUUUGUCAUUGUUCAAGGUUGGCAUGUCCGAAUAUUUUUUCUAUUUCAAGAAAAUAUAAUCAUUAAUUGCCACUGAUGUGCAGCUCAUUACAUUUGCUUUAUUCAACACUUGCAAGUUACUACUAUAAUUUAAAUUAAAACCUUAUUAUACUUCAAAAUCUUUGUGAUCAUAUUAUAAUUGGCUACAUCAAUAAGGGCUUGUUCAUCAAGAUUGGCACUCAACCUUCAAAUACAUGAACUUCUAUUAUUUCUAUUUUUCACAUGGUUCUCAAUUAUCCUCAAAUUAAUAGCGAUAUGGACGCCUAGAAUGUUUACAUGACUUAAACGAUAGAUGACAAAACGAUAUAGUUGGAUGUCUAUGCAAUUUUAAUUGGUCACGUUGAUAUUAAUUUGUUAUGUCAACUUGCCACUAUGGUAUUAACUGUGAAAAAUUUCAAAUGAUUGGAACUUCAUGUAUUUAGGCGCAAUUAUUCUUUGAAAAUCAGACAGUUAGAAUCACAACUGUUGAUUAGAAGUGAUGCAAGAUUCUUUCCCAAGUGGGAUCAAAAGCUGUAAGAAAUUCCUCAGAGAAAUUACCAAAAAGGAAUUGAAUUCCACAAAAUAUAAAACAAUAUUACCCCAUAAUGGGAAUUGAAUCAGAUGCAUCCCCAUCUCAAAAACAAAAAAAAAACUAUAAGUAGCAGACACUAACACCAAUCAAUCUAUCAAGAGAGAGAGAGAGAGAGAGUCAAGAAAAUGCAGAUGUACAAGGAAGUAGUGGAGGAAUAUGAAUACAGCUACAGCAACAAUGGCUCAGACAUGCACAUGAUGAAGCCUGCUGCUGCACAGCACAGCUACAAUCAGAGCCAUGGCCAUGCGCCCGAGACGAGGUACGAGGAUGGCUGGGGCGGCGCCAAGAAUAAUGACCAUUAUGCCCUCGGUGGCAAGGUGCAUCACGGCGGCAAUGAGGGGAUGAAGCACGGUGGAUAGGGGCUGAUCAGGGGCAUUUUGGUCAUUACAAGGAGGGGAUGGGGAUGAAGCACGGCGGAUAUGGGGGCGAUCAGGGGCAUUUUGGUCAUUAUAAGGAGGUGAUGGGAUGAAGAA
rnacentral:lncRNA from 1 species